rnacentral:rRNA from 1 species
GACGAACGCUGGCGGCGUGCCUAAUACAUGCAAGUAGAACGCUGAAGGAGGAGCUUGCUUCUCUGGAUGAGUUGCGAACGGGUGAGUAACGCGUAGGUAACCUGCCUGGUAGCGGGGGAUAACUAUUGGAAACGAUAGCUAAUACCGCAUAAUAGUAGAUGUUGCAUGACAUUUACUUAAAAGGUGCAAUUGCAUCACUACCAGAUGGACCUGCGGUGUAUUAGUUAGUUGGUGGGGUAACGGCUCACCAAGGCGACGAUACAUAGCCGACCUGAAAGGGUGAUCGGCCACAAUGGGACUGAGACACGGCCCAGACUCCUACGGGAGGCAGCAGUAGGGAAUCUUCGGCAAUGGACGAAAGUCUGACCGAGCAACGCCGCGUGAGUGAAGAAGGUUUUCGGAUCGUAAAGCUCUGUUGUAAGAGAAGAACGAGUGUGAGAGUGGAAAGUUCACACUGUGACGGUAUCUUACCAGAAAGGGACGGCUAACUACGUG